AGAACGACUCUCGGCAAAGGAUAUCUCGGCUCUCGCAUCGAUGAAGAACGUAGCAAAAUGCGAUACCUGGUGUGAAUUGCAGAAUCCCGCGAACCAUCGAGUUUUUGAACGCAAGUUGCGCCCGAGGCCAAUAGGUUGAGGGCACGUCUGCCUGGGCGUCUCGC
rnacentral:rRNA from 1 species